UUCUUUGAUGCCUGGGGUGUCCCUUGAAAAUUUGAAGUCCUAUGCUGCUAGCCAUGCCUUAAAAGUUACUCACCCCUGCAAGUCACAGCAUUCAUCAGGAGUGAAUUUCUACUUGCGAGGCAUACAUUUUUUACUUGCCAGUGAUGAGUGAAAAUUUUGAGCUCUGUCUUAAAUAGAAAUUGAUUUAAUGUUUUUUUAAAAUCACAUUGGUGAGCAACAACUCCCUUGAUACUUGCAGG